rnacentral:rRNA from 1 species
GAUGAACGCUGGCGGCGUGCCUAAUACAUGCAAGUCGAGCGAACGGACGAGAAGCUUGCUUCUCUGAUGUUAGCGGCGGACGGGUGAGUAACACGUGGAUAACCUACCUAUAAGACUGGGAUAACUUCGGGAAACCGGAGCUAAUACCGGAUAAUAUUUUGAACCGCAUGGUUCAAAAGUGAAAGACGGUCUUGCUGUCACUUAUAGAUGGAUCCGCGCUGCAUUAGCUAGUUGGUAAGGUAACGGCUUACCAAGGCAACGAUGCAUAGCCGACCUGAGAGGGUGAUCGGCCACACUGGAACUGAGACACGGUCCAGACUCCUACGGGAGGCAGCAGUAGGGAAUCUUCCGCAAUGGGCGAAAGCCUGACGGAGCAACGCCGCGUGAGUGAUGAAGGUCUUCGGAUCGUAAAACUCUGUUAUUAGGGAAGAACAUAUGUGUAAGUAACUGUGCACAUCUUGACGGUACCUAAUCAGAAAGCCACGGCUAACUACGUGCCAGCAGCCGCGGUAAUACGUAGGUGGCAAGCGUUAUCCGGAAUUAUUGGGCGUAAAGCGCGCGUAGGCGGUUUUUUAAGUCUGAUGUGAAAGCCCACGGCUCAACCGUGGAGGGUCAUUGGAAACUGGAAAACUUGAGUGCAGAAGAGGAAAGUGGAAUUCCAUGUGUAGCGGUGAAAUGCGCAGAGAUAUGGAGGAACACCAGUGGCGAAGGCGACUUUCUGGUCUGUAACUGACGCUGAUGUGCGAAAGCGUGGGGAUCAAACAGGAUUAGAUACCCUGGUAGUCCACGCCGUAAACGAUGAGUGCUAAGUGUUAGGGGGUUUCCGCCCCUUAGUGCUGCAGCUAACGCAUUAAGCACUCCGCCUGGGGAGUACGACCGCAAGGUUGAAACUCAAAGGAAUUGACGGGGACCCGCACAAGCGGUGGAGCAUGUGGUUUAAUUCGAAGCAACGCGAAGAACCUUACCAAAUCUUGACAUCCUUUGACAACUCUAGAGACAGAGCUUUCCCCUUCGGGGGACAAAGUGACAGGUGGUGCAUGGUUGUCGUCAGCUCGUGUCGUGAGAUGUUGGGUUAAGUCCCGCAACGAGCGCAACCCUUAAGCUUAGUUGCCAUCAUUAAGUUGGGCACUCUAAGUUGACUGCCGGUGACAAACCGGAGGAAGGUGGGGAUGACGUCAAAUCAUCAUGCCCCUUAUGAUUUGGGCUACACACGUGCUACAAUGGACAAUACAAAGGGCAGCGAAACCGUGAGGUCAAGCAAAUCCCAUAAAGUUGUUCUCAGUUCGGAUUGUAGUCUGCAACUCGACUACAUGAAGCUGGAAUCGCUAGUAAUCGUAGAUCAGCAUGCUACGGUGAAUACGUUCCCGGGUCU